GGAUUAGUGGCGAACGGGUGAGUAUCACGUGAGUAACCUGCCCUUGACUCUGGGAUAAGCCUGGGAAACUGGGUCUAAUACCGGAUGCGACCAGUCCCCGCAUGGGGUGCUGGUGGAAAGAUUUUAUCGGUCUUGGAUGGACUCGCGGCCUAUCAGCUAGACGGUGGGGUAGAAGCCCACCGUGGCGAUGACGGGUAGCCGGCCUGAGAGGGUGACCGGCCACACUGGGACUGAGACACGGCCCAGACUCCUACGGGAGGCAGCAGUGGGGAAUAUUGCACAAUGGGCGCAAGCCUGAUGCAGCGACGCCGCGUGCGGGAUGACGGCCUUCGGGUUGUAAACCGCUUUCAGCAGGGAAGAAGCUUUAUUGUGACGGUACCUGCAGAAGAAGCGCCGGCUAACUACGUGCCAGCAGCCGCGGUAAUACGUAGGGCGCGAGCGUUAUCCGGAAUUAUUGGGCGUAAAGAGCUCGUAGGCGGCUUGUCGCGUCUGCUGUGAAAGCCCGGGGCUUAACCCCGGGUGUGCAGUGGGUACGGGCAGGCUAGAGUGCAGUAGGGGAGACUGGAAUUCCUGGUGUAGCGGUGAAAUGCGCAGAUAUCAGGAGGAACACCGAUGGCGAAGGCAGGUCUCUGGGCUGUUACUGACGCUGAGGAGCGAAAGCAUGGGGAGCGAACAGGAUUAGAUACCCUGGUAGUCCAUGCCGUAAACGUUGGGCACUAGGUGUGGGGGACAUUCCACGUUUUCCGCGCCGUAGCUAACGCAUUAAGUGCCCCGCCUGGGGAGUACGGCCGCAAGGCUAAAACUCAAAGGAAUUGACGGGGGCCCGCACAAGCGGCGGAGCAUGCGGAUUAAUUCGAUGCAACGCGAAGAACCUUACCAAGGCUUGACAUGGACCGGAUCGCUGCAGAGAUGUAGUUUCCCUUCGGGGCUGGUUCACAGGUGGUGCAUGGUUGUCGUCAGCUCCUGUCCUGAGAUGUUUGGGUUAAAUCCCCCAACCAAGGCAAACCCCUAUCCUAUGUUGCCAGCACGUAUUGGUGGGGGACUCAUGGGGAGACUGCCCGGGUUCACUCUCGAAGAAAGGUG
rnacentral:rRNA from 1 species